rnacentral:rRNA from 1 species
UACGAGUACCCCAAGCGUUAUCCGGAAUCAUUGGGCGUAAAGAGCUCGUAGGCGGUUCAGCAAGUCGGCUGUGAAAUUCCGAGGCUCAACCUCGGAACUGCAGCCGAUACUGCUGUGACUCGAGUCCGGUAGAGGAGAAUGGAAUUCCCGGUGUAGCGGUGAAAUGCGCAGAUAUCAGGAGGAACACCAGUGGCGAAGGCGCCGCUCUGGGCCGUGACUGACGCUGAGGAGCGAAAGCGUGGGUAGCAAACAGG